UACGGAGGGUGCAAGCGUUAUCCGGAUUCACUGGGUUUAAAGGGUGCGUAGGAGGGCAGGUAAGUCAGUGGUGAAAUCUCCAAGCUUAACUUGGAAACUGCCGUUGAUACUAUCUGUCUUGAAUAUUUGUGGAGGUGAGCGGAAUAUGUCAUGUAGCGGUGAAAUGCUUAGAUAUGACAUAGAACACCAAUUGCGAAGGCAGCUCGCUACUCAAUUAUUGACUCUGAGCAGAAAGCGUGGGGAUCAAACAGG
rnacentral:rRNA from 1 species